rnacentral:lncRNA from 1 species
CUGCCACGCGCCCCCGCCCAGGAUCCGAGGCCUGGGGCAUCUGAAUGAGGACCCUCCACCCACAUUUCCACUUGGGAGCGAGCUCCAGUCGGGGAAAGGGCCUGCAGCCCGCCUCGUCCCCACCCUGGGACCCCGCGCCCCCCAGUCCCCCACUCCCGCGCCGAAGGCAGGGCCGCGCCCUGAGCCGGGAAGUCGAGGGGAUGGAAGGGAAAGGAGCCACCGGUGAGGGUCCCCCGGGUUCUGAGCCUCCCGCGUCGGGAUCCGUGGGGCGCACAGAGCGCCACCUCCGGCCGAGGCGCAGCUCAGAGCGCGAUGCGGGGGAGGAACGCGCGCGGAGGCCGAGGUCUGAGCGUGGCUAGACGGCUCCCACGCCGAGAAAGGGCGGGUGCGCCUGGGCUGGAUGGAUUUCGCCUCCCUAGACCAGGAGGGAUUGGACCCUGACUACAGGUCCAGGUGCUCGUCAGUGCCCUGCCAGGGGGUCUACGCGUCCUGGUACCGGGUCCAGCGGGGUGGCGUGCUGUGCAGACCCCGAGGCUAGACGGCCUAGGCCCCUGGAGCCCAGGAGACGCUUCCUUGGGUGAGCAGCGGAGAAUCCCGCCCGGCCCAGCCGUCACCCCCAACCCUGUCGAUUAAACCCCUGCCCCCGUCGCGGUCGCCCUCCCUCCAGACAAAGGCCGUUAAGGCGCAGCCCCGCGGGCGGUCUUUCAUCCCCAGCUAGGCCAGCUCUAGCAUUUCAAAGGCCGAAUCCGGAGAGCGCUUCGGGGGCUCUCCCCUUCCCCCAAAUAUUUGGGGAGCGACGCCUCUCCCUCCGCUCCCAGUGGGUCGCGUCUACACGCGCCCUUCCACACACCUGCAGGCCCCCUCCCCACGUCUCUCCCUUCCGUUGGCCGCAGCCCCACACCACGACCCCCGCGGUCAAGCAUGCCCUCUGGGUGGUCAGGACCAAGCGGGACCGGGACAGAACCAGGGGAGCCUUGGAAACGUGGAGGAGCCCCUUAAAGCCAGGCCUUGUCCCUCCAGGGGGAACUUGCGGCUUGGGAGGGGACACCCACUGCAUGGCUUCUGGAAAGAGCCGGACUCGCAGGGCCAGGACGCAGGCCGGACCCCGGCCUCAUUCUUCGGCCAGUUAUCCCGGAGUGGCGCGCAUCCUGUCUUCCUGGGCCUCGGACUGCUCGCGCGCAGAGGGGGCCCGAGGACACCUCUGUGGGGUUAGAGGACUCGCGGCCGCGCGAGGGAGGCGAAAACUUGUGCAGCCGCGCGACAGCCGCCUUCUGGGGAGACUCGGGGCACGACGCACCCGGCGUGGGACUGGGACCCCCCUGCCCGGCCCCGCCACAUUCUCCGCCGGAUCCCCGGAAGACACAAGGAGACGUGGACCCCCACAGGCUUUUUUGGGGGGAUUGGGCGUUGAAACCGCAGGGCUGACUUAACCAAGAGGUCACCGACUUGGAUAAAAAACCCACGCCCGCGCGGACCCCCCUCCCCGGCCUUCGUUUCCAUUCAAACUCCCAGCGUCCUCAUUGCAGCCCCUGGGGAGGGGGACGGAGGGACGAGGUGGGUUUCAGGUGCUCGGCCCAGGAGGGGACGGUGCGACCCGGGCCCCGCCGGCGGGUUUUGCGCGCGGAGGCUGCGGCACCUGCCCCGCCCGCCCUGCCGCGAUCCUUGCAGACGGGGGCGGUCACAUGCUUCUUUCUGGCCAGGAAUCGAGUUUCACUUCCAGCCGCUAUUAGUCGGUUCACACAGUUCACUGCAAACAUUUGAUAAUGAGGCUAAAUAUACUCCCGCGUCGGAGGAGGCGUGGGCGUCCCCGCCCAGGCCCGGGAGACAGAGGCGCUGACCCCGGGACAGAGCCUGGCUUUGUGCGGGAGGCAGACGCGCCCCGCGCGCCGCCCCCGAAACAUUCGCACCCCAUGCUGAGGCGCGCGUCUGGGAGUCCGUGGGCGCCCCGAGGUGAGCCCGGGGCCCCUGGCGGAAGCAGCGGGGAGCUCCCGGCGGGUGCGGGGAGGUGCUGGUGGGAAGCAAGGUGCACCUGGCGGCCUGGGAUGUCCGGUCGCCCCCGGAGCCGGUGCAUCCGGCCUCUCCCGGCGCGCCCCGACGUGCCCGCGGGCUCAUAAUUACCGUGAGUCAGGUGCCCCAAAUAGGCCGAGCGAGGGGGGCCGUCGCGCAGCAGGGGCGGGUGGCCGGACGUCUGCCCGGGACUGGUUGCCUCCCGCCCCUCCCCAAGACCCUGGCACCCAGGGAGGGCGGGAAAGGCCUUGGCCAUUCCUCUGGGUAGGGGACUGGAGAGGGGAAGAAACUUUCGCCGAGUCCAGCGCUGCCCCCUCAUACCCAUCCCCACCCAGGCUGCGUGUCCGGGGCCCCUCCGGGGCUUGGCACCAGCAGGCACGCAGCGAUCGCCGUCGUUGUUAUUUAGUAGUAGUAGUAACGGCUGACAUUUACAGCGACGUCGAUGGCGCCAGGUGCCAAGCUCUUUCCUUGUAUAAUUUCAUGGACACUCACGCAUCAACUCUAAGCGAAGACUUGGAGCGGGGCUCAGCACCCCAGGGGUACCUCUGCAACCUCGGUAAAUAUAGACUAUCCUCAAUUCGCAGGGGCAUUUGUACGUGGGGUGUACAGGCAGGAACAGGAAAGACGCUGUGGCCACCCAGGAGUAGGGGCGGCAGCCAACACCCCCUGGAUCCCCAGUUCCAAGGUGCAGGGAGGGGGGCAGAGGCCAGUUCCCUCCGCUCUCUGCCCCUUGACCUUGGCCUUGGUGAGCUCUGUCCCUAGACUGCCCUGGGUGUCUGUUCCCUCAUCUGAAAAGCGUGAGGCCCACAGCCGUCACUGCACACAGCUGCCGUCACUGCACACAGCUGCCUCCACUGUCGGGAAGCCUCCCUCCUGCCCACCUGCCCAGGAAAAGCUGCGCUAGCGUGCCCUGGGCAAGCGCCCUGCUGGCCACCUGCCUGCACCUGGGUUGGGGGUGGGGGGACCAGCUGAGCACCCAAAUCCUGGCCUCUGCCCCCAGCGCCAGAGCAGAUUUCAGAACAAUUUGUAAUGACGAAACCCCACGUUUCCCUUUAUCUCUGGGCAAGGCUUUCUUCGUCCUAGGCAAUUAAUCCAAAAGCAACACCAGCCGAGUGGGCUGGACUCCUUGAAGAUCAAAACUGCCCAGCGCAGGCAUUAAUUAAGUCAUUAUCUCAGGCCCCCAGCGACUAGGGAUCAGGCCUUUCCAGUUCACACUCUCCAGAAAGGGAGAUAACUGCCCCGCCAGCAGGGUGGGAAGGCUCUCUCUCCAUGUUGUUUUAACUCCCUAUUAAAUCAUUUUAUUUUAAAUACACAAACAGAAAUGAAGUUGAAAAUAGCACAGGAGCCCACUAUCACUGUGUGAACAUUUUGUGAAUGAAGACAUGUAUGAAAGGAUGUUUGGAGGCUUCAAGAAACGAAAGCCGAGAGUCUAGCUAGACCAGAGCCAUCCAGCCCAGGAGCGAUGGCCACGUGUGGCCGCUGGACACGAGAGACGUGGCCAGUCCAAACUGUGCAGUGCGGGGCAGUGGAAGCCGUUGGAGGGCCUCAGGCAGGAACACAAGGUGUCGUGGCAGAAAGGAAGAAGGGGCCGGGCACGGUGGCCCACACCCGUCAUCCCAGCACUUUGGGAGGGAGGCCAAGGCAGGAGGAUCGCUUCAAUCCAGGAGUUCAAGAUCAGCCUGGGCAACACAGCAAGACCCCGUCUCUACUAAAACCCUAAAACUUAGCCAGGCUUGGUGGCAUGUGCCUAAGGUCCCAGGUCCUCGGGAGACUAAGGCAGGAGGAUUGCUUAAGCCCAAGAGUUUGAGGCUGCAGUGAACUAUUAUCACACCACUGCACUCAGCCUGGGUGACAGAGUGACUCUGUCUCAAAACUAAAUAAAUAAACAAUAAUUGUGUU